rnacentral:misc_RNA from 1 species
ACCAACUGACCCUGUGAAACCAAAAAAGUCAUAGUAAAGAAUCUGACAUGAUUGAUAGCUUAAAAAAUUUACCAGUUAAACCUUUCUUUUUGUGGUGUGUGUGAGGACUGAGUAGAGGGGAUAGGGGCUAUUUCAGAGUUUUAGUUCUACACUUCAUUGAGUAAAACAGCCAUUUCAUAUUGAAAGCUUCAGACUGUGUGCCAAUGUAACUAGCAGAUAAUUCAAUGAAAGCAGAUGCAUUUUUAUUGGUCCUAUCAAAAGCAGAUAACUCAUUGGCAAGUCAAAAGUAAAAAAGGUAGUCUAGAACUAAAAAAUAAUAAUAAUAAUAUCAAUAGGUUCACCAAAAAAUCAGAAGAUCAGUCAUAGCAGUUACAAAUUGUAGAAUAAGAACUCUAAUUUGAAUGGGUAAUAGGAUCCAAUUGACCUUUGCAUCUCGC